rnacentral:rRNA from 1 species
GAUCAUGGCUCAGGAUGAACGCUGGCGGCGUGCCUAAUACAUGCAAGUCGAACGAGGGAAGUCCAGCUUGCUGGACGGAACUAGUGGCGAACGGGUGAGUAAUACGUAAGCAACCUGCCUACAAGGACCGGGAUAACACCUGGAAACGGGCGCUAAUACCGGAUAGGUAACGGGAGGGCAUCCUUCUGUUAUUAAAGGUUAGAAACACAAGUAGAUGGGCUUACGGUGCAUUAGCUGGUUGGUGAGGUAACGGCCCACCAAGGCGAUGAUGCAUAGCCGGCCUGAGAGGGUGAACGGCCACAUUGGGACUGAGACACGGCCCAAACUCCUACGGGAGGCAGCAGUGGGGAAUAUUGCACAAUGGGCGAAAGCCUGAUGCAGCCGACGCCGCGUGAGCGAAGAAGUAUUUCGGUAUGUAAAGCUCUAUCAGCAGGGAAGAUAAUGACGGUACCUGACUAAGAAGCACCGGCUAAAUACGUGCCAGCCGCCGC